ACGCGCAUGUCGACUGCUAGGCUAAUAACUAAACGUGGUCCAUGAAAGUUUUCGCAAUUGUGCUGGCUGACGACCUCGUGUGCAGCUUUACACGCGUGGUAGAUCGUACAACCGGUAACAUUAUCAAAGCAAUCGAUAUACCGUGUGGAACAGACAGGAAAUAAAACUUGGAAAAAUAAAAUUCGUGCCAACCCCCGUCACUGGAAAGGACAAGCACGCACUAGUUCAAUUACAAAACGGUGUCUCUACGACGGAGAAUCAUGGCACGCCGUCGUGUUAUUGUCUGCACGUUACGACAGCGAAAUGGGGUGCUGAUGGGCGAAACGUAUGGUGAGGGGGAGGCACUGUUGCAUUUUCGAAUAGCCAACGGAAGUACCGACACUUCCGCUCGUUCAAUAAUAUUACACCUGUGCAUCAGAUGAGACUGUGUGGCUCGUUAGGUUCGGUUCGUUAUUCUUUUUUUCGUUUAAUUUAGUGACCUAGAAAACCACACCAAAACACUAACGGGAAACGAGACACAGAAAACUACGACGCAGCAUUCCAUCAUUACGUAGAAAAUGAACGAUUGGAAAUCUACAUUUCCGUUAUGCAAAUAUUGAAAAUGUACACGGGGAAACAAAACGGCUUUUAUACUUUCACGUAGAUCCGGAAAACAAAAGAGAAUAUAACGUUACGGUUUGGAAAUGUGGAGUGGGGACCAAAUGAGGCAUGUACACAGGUAUAUUCACACACCGAUGCAUUCACGUCAAAUAGAAGGGCAAUAGUUUCACCAAUUUCUAUCGCCAAUCGUUUCUUGCCUUUUCGUUAUGUUGGAUAGUAAAAACUUUCUGAACAAUGUAAUACUUCAUGAGAAACACACGCUAUCACACAUACGUGGGCACCGACAUCUUGUUUCAAUAAAAGACA